rnacentral:lncRNA from 1 species
CACGGCCAGGAUUGGCCGCGGAUUGACCGGAGGGGGGUGCCGCGGGAUACCUGCGGCGCCCUUGCCCUGUUUGUCCCCGGAGGAGCCGGAGAGGGUCGCCAUCGCGAUCCUCUGUUCCGGCUCUUCCCAAAAGAGGACGCGGCCGAAGUCGGCUGGGGCUGCCGACUUCAACCCGUAUCUCACAUUCUCUCUCCCUUAGUAAAAUUUCAUCCUCGAAAUUUAACAUACCUUAGCUUGCAAAAAGGCCCAAAUAUUUUUCCUUCAUCUUGUCCUCCAGUUCCCAUGUAGCCUCACGUUCUGAGUAAUUACUCCACUAGAUCUUAACAUAAGAAAUUGUGCACCUCCUCAA